AAAUAUGAUCGAGCUCAAAUUGCAGAAAUAAGGCGUAUAAUGAAGGGGCCAAUUGCAAACCGCAAAACAGAUUUUCUCAUUCCGUUGUUCAUGUUUAGUGAGAAAAAGGGUUCAUUUUGGUGUUAGUUGAUUAAAUACCAGAUUUUGGUGUUAGUUUAUAUACUUGAUUCAAGUAUUAAGAUUUAAGACUUUAAUAUCUUUGGGUCAUGGAGCUUACUGUGUUCUCCUUAAAAUUUGUAACUUAAGGAACAAUGAGAUGGAUUCUUCAGGUAUUUCUAAUUCUGCACUUAUGUUCUUUUUCUGAUAUAUGUCAGUGAUUUAUCAUAUUCUUCUUCAUUCUCUUUAGUUUCUAUUAAAUUUUUAAGGAAAAGUUUAGAAUCAAGUUGAUUUGAUUGUUGAUGUGGUUAGGCAAAAGUUUAGGGGCUAUAUAUAUACUGAUUUUCUCUCUUUGUAGAAGAGGGGAUAUGGAAGCCUAUCAUCUCAGCAAUGGUGGUGAAUUUGGAGAAAAAGGUUUAUCCUUUGAAAAAGGUUGCUUAUGAGUGUCCAUGAUUAGAGGAAACACUACACAUGACUAUGAUGAUCUUGGUCACAGUGACCCUGAAAUAUAAAGAUGAUUUUAUCAAUUACACAUGACUAUGUGGGCAUAACGUUUCUGUCAGGAGAUGGAUUGGCUAAAAUCAUUGUUUCAAGUUAUCUGAAAGAUUAGCUGGAUCUCAUAGCGGGUUGUUGAUUGGGGGCUUUUCCCUUUUGAUGUUGGAAUAUGGUGUGGUAUUAUUCCAAUAAGUUUGAACUUCUCUGGCUGUAACUAUUUUGCAGUACUUUGUGGUGAGGAACUAUUGGCACGAAUAUUCUUACUACUGGGGAUGUUGAAACAACAAGUGGAAGCAUUAGAUGAGAAAGUCUACGACAAGCAACCUGCAACAUAAUCAUGGAGAAUAUGCAAUUUGGGGGACCAUUCAAUCAGUUAUUGGAGGGUGGGAGAUCAAACCCUUAUUGCUUUCGAGGGUUGUUAACUUCAAUAUCUAAACGUUUGUGGUUGUCACCAAAGUAAUAGCCAUUACAUGGAGGUGCCCUCAACUUUGUUAUGUAAUUGUGUUUUCCUGUCUCUUUUUAUACAUGAGAAUAUGAGUUGAAAUGAAGAGAACUUGCUCCACUUCAAGUUUGAAUUGGGUAUGGGUGGAUUGAAGAGCUUGAAAAAGCAGAUCGGAUGUACUAAGGACAUGAUGGGAAUGUUUGGUGGUGGCUCAUGAGAUAUGGGUUGUUUUCAAUCACUACUGUGUCCACGUUUGAUUUGGAUAUUUUCCAAUUUAUAGAAAACUCAAGGAAUGAAAUUGUCUGUUUUAAUUUUACAUUUUUUACAUUGAUAGUUUUUUUCUAUAAAAUUAAAAUCCUCUUUUUUCCCGUUUUCUAUGUAUAAACAUUUGUUAGUGUUAGUAGUGAAUUGCAAAUUUAUGAAUUAGCGUGACACGAAAAAUUCUAACAAA